AGUGAACGCUGGCGGUAGGCCUAACACAUGCAAGUCGAACGGCAGCACAGUAAUAGCUUGCUCUUACGGGUGGCGAGUGGCGGACGGGUGAGGAAUACAUCGGAAUCUACUUUUUCGUGGGGGAUAACGUAGGGAAACUUACGCUAAUACCGCAUACGACCUACGGGUGAAAGCAGGGGAUCUUCGGACCUUGCGCGAUUGAAUGAGCCGAUGUCGGAUUAGCUAGUUGGCGGGGUAAAGGCCCACCAAGGCGACGAUCCGUAGCUGGUCUGAGAGGAUGAUCAGCCACACUGGAACUGAGCCACGGUCCAGACUCCUACGGGAGGCAGCAGUGGGGAAUAUUGGACAAUGGGCGCAAGCCUGAUCCAGCCAUACCGAGUGGGUGAAGAAGGCCUUCGGGUUGUAAAGCCCUUUUGUUGGGAAAGAAAAGCAGCAGGUUAAUACCCCGCUGUUCUGACGGUACCCAAAGAAUAAGCACCGGCUAACUUCGUG
rnacentral:rRNA from 1 species